CUGGUGUGCCUUGUCAUGUGUGUGCUUCCGGAGGUGGCUGUGCUUCUGUAUACAGUCCAGUUCUGUAUAGAGUUCAGUAAUACAGGAUCUUUAUUCCAAACCCAGGAUAUUCAGAAGCAGGUGUAAAAGCAGCAGUGAUGUUGCUGAUACUUUUCAAGACAAGUUUCUCUUCCGACCUUUUCCUGAAUUUGAGAGUGCUUACCAUGGAAAGAGACCAGAGCAAAGUAAGAGGGUUCCUUUUUUUUUUUUUUUUUUUUUUUUGGCUUCACUCUUUGGCUUUUGCUAUUUAUACCUAUUAUUCCCAAGAAUUUAUGGGCUUAAUCAGAA
rnacentral:lncRNA from 1 species